rnacentral:rRNA from 1 species
AAUGCGACCUCAGCUCAGGCGGGGCUACCCGCUGAGUUUAAGCAUAUCAAUAAGCGGAGGAAAAGAAACUAA